rnacentral:rRNA from 1 species
AGUGAACGCUGGCGGUAGGCCUAACACAUGCAAGUCGAACGGCAGCACAGUAAGAGCUUGCUCUUACGGGUGGCGAGUGGCGGACGGGUGAGGAAUACAUCGGAAUCUACUUUUUCGUGGGGGAUAACGGAGGGAAACUUACGCUAAUACCGCAUACGACCUACGGCUUAAAUCAGGGGUUCUUCGGACCUUGCGCGAUUGAAUGAGUCGAUGUCGGAUUAGCUAGUUGGCGGGGUAAGGGCCCACCAAGGCGACGAUCCGUAGCUGGUCUGAGAGGAUGAUCAGCCACACUGGAACUGAGACACGGUCCAGACUCCUACGGGAGGCAGCAGUGGGGAAUAUUGGACAAUGGGCGCAAGCCUGAUCCAGCCAUACCGCGUGGGUGAAGAAGGCCUUCGGGUUGUAAAGCCCUUUUGUUGGGAAAGAAAAGCAGCAUGUUAAUACCCCGCUGUUCUGACGGUACCCAAAGAAUAAGCACCGGCUAACUUCGUG